rnacentral:lncRNA from 1 species
CAAGAAAAUAAAACUUUAUGCUAGAAUUCAAAGCACCAUUCAAGUUCUUAUUUCUAGCAAGCACCAAACAAACAAGAGUAGUAUUUUUAAGUUUGCAAUGCAACACUUCAUUAUGUUAGUGCACAUUCAAAUGCAACAAAUGGUUCAUGAGCUUGCUCCCCCUUUUUGUGUGCUCAAGUUUUAAUUUAAUUUUCCAAAAGUUAUCUCUCCCCCUUAAGCACUUUUCUCCCUCUUUAUGACUUUAUCUUUGUUUCUCUCCCCCUUUGUCAUCAAUGACCACAAAGGUUCAAAUUUUAGUGAGAAUUAAGUCAAUCAAUAUGAGG